rnacentral:misc_RNA from 1 species
AAGUCGUAACAAGGUUUCCGUAGGUGAACCUGCGGAAGGAUCAUUAACAAACCUCAGGCGCUCGCGCCCACAGGUAACCCUUGAAUAAACUACCUUUGUUGCUUUGGCGGGCCGCCUCUCCGGCCAGCGGCUUCGGCUGCUGCGCGCCCGCCAGAGGACCACAACUCUUGUUUUUAGUGAUGUCUGAGUACUAUAUAAUAGUUAAAACUUUCAACAACGGAUCUCUUGGUUCUG